GGGGGGGGGGGGGGGCGGGCCGGGGGGGUGCGGGGCGAGCGAGGGGGCGGGGAGCUUGCGCCUCUGCCGGUCGCGGCGGGCGGGUGAGUAACACGUGGAGCCCCUCCCUGUGCUCCUGGGAUCACUUCGGGAAACCGGCGCUGCUCCCGGCUCAUCUCUUGAACCGCAUUGUUCACUAGUGACAGACGGUUUUCCGGUCACUUCUCGCUGGACCCGCGCCGCAUUAGCUAGUUGGUCAGUUAACGGCUUACCAAGGCAACGAUGCGUAGCCGACCUGAGAGGGUGAUCGGCCACACUGGAACUGAGACACGGUCCAGACUCCUACGGGAGGCAGCAGUAGGGAAUCUUCCGCAAUGGGCGAAAGCCUGACGGAGCAACGCCGCGUGAGUGAUGAAGGUCUUCGGAUCGUAAAACUCUGUUAUUAGGGAAGAACAAAUGUGUAAGUAACUAUGCACGUCUUGACGGUACCUAAUCAGAAAGCCACGGCUAACUACGUG
rnacentral:rRNA from 1 species